UACGGAGGGGCUAGCGUUGUUCGGAAUUACUGGGCGUAAAGCGCGCGUAGGCGGACCUGCAAGUCGGGGGUGAAAGCCCGAGGCUCAACCUCGGAACUGCCUUCGAUACUGCGGGUCUCGAGUCCGGGAGAGGUGAGUGGAAUUCCUAGUGUAGAGGUGAAAUUCGUAGAUAUUAGGAAGAACACCAGUGGCGAAGGCGGCUCACUGGCCCGGUACUGACGCUGAGGCGCGAAAGCGUGGGG
rnacentral:rRNA from 1 species